GAUGAACGCUGGCGGCGUGCCUAAUACAUGCAAGUCGAGCGAACGGACGAGAAGCUUGCUUCUCUGAUGUUAGCGGCGGACGGGUGAGUAACACGUGGAUAACCUACCUAUAAGACUGGGAUAACUUCGGGAAACCGGAGCUAAUACCGGAUGAUAUUUUGAACCGCAUGGUUCAAAAGUGAAAGCCGGUCUUGCUGUCACUUAUAGAUGGAUCCGCGCUGCAUUAGCUAGUUGGUAAGGUAACGGCUUACCAAGGCAACGAUGCAUAGCCGACCUGAGAGGGUGAUCGGCCACACUGGAACUGAGACACGGUCCAGACUCCUAGGGGAGGCAGAAGUAGGGAAUGUUCCGCAAUGAGCGAAAGCCUGACGGAGCAACACCGCGUGAGCGAUGAAGGUCUUCGGAUCGUAAAACUCUGUUAUUAGGGAAGAACAUAUGUGUAAGUAACUGUGCACACCUUGACGGUACCUAAUCAGAAAGCCACGGCUAACGACGUG
rnacentral:rRNA from 1 species